AAUGGGGGAAACCCUGACGCAGCAACGCCGCGUGAAGGAUGAAGGUUUUCGGAUUGUAAACUUCUUUGAUUGGGGACGAAGAAAUGACGGUACCCAAAAAACAAGCCACGGCUAACUACGUGCCAGCAGCCGCGGUAAUACGUAGGUGGCGAGCGUUGUCCGGAAUUACUGGGUGUAAAGGGCGUGUAGGCGGGGAUAUAAGUCAGAUGUGAAAUCCCGGGGCUCAACUCCGGAGCUGCAUCUGAAACUAUAUUUCUUGAGUGCUGGAGAGGAAAGCGGAAUUCCUAGUGUAGCGGUGAAAUGCGUAGAUAUUAGGAGGAACACCAGUGGCGAAGGCGGCUUUCUGGACAGUAACUGACGCUGAGGCGCGAAAGCGUGGGGAGCAAA
rnacentral:rRNA from 1 species